UAGGCCUUUGCAUCAUGGUACUGCCAGGGAAUUACGAGCGCAAGCUUAAAAUCCAAAGGAUUUGACGGUGUCCCAUCCACCUAGAGGAGCCUGUUCUAUAAUCGAUAAUCCUCGAUAUACCCCACCAUUUCUCGCUUACUCAGCCUGUAUACCUCCGUCGUAAGCUUACCAUCUAAAUGUAAUAAAGUAAGUUCAAAGAUCACCCACCAACACGUCAGGUCAAGGUGCAGCCAAUGAAAUGGAAAGCAAUGGGCUACAAUCUCUACAAUAGAACACACGAAAAACUACAUGAAAUAAUAGUCAUGAAGGCGGAUUUAGUAGUAAAAGAAGAAUAGAGCGCUUCUUUUAACAAGGCUCUGGGACGUGUACAAACCGCCCGUCACCCUCUUCAACAGCACACUUUUGAUCAUUAACCCAUAAAAGCACUUUAGAAGAGGCAAGUCGUAACAUGGUAAGUGUACUGGAAAGUGCACUUGGCAAAC
rnacentral:rRNA from 1 species